rnacentral:rRNA from 1 species
GACGAACACUGGCGGCGUGCCUAACACAUGCAAGUCGAACGGAAAGGCCCUGCUUUUGUGGGGUGCUCGUGUGGCGAACGGGUGAGUAACACGUGAGUAACCUGCCCUUGACUUUGGGAUAACUCCAGGAGACUGGGGCUCAUACCGGAUAGGAGCUCCUGCUGCAUGGUGGGGGUUGGAAAGUUUCGGCGGUUGGGGAUGGACUCGCGGCUUAUCAGCUUGUUGGUGGGGUAGUGGCUUACCAAGGCUUUGACGGGUAGCCGGCCUGAGAGGGUGACCGGCCACAUGGGGACUGAGAUACGGCCCAGACUCCUACGGGAGGCAGCAGUGGAGAAUAUUGCAGAAUGGGCGGAAGCCUGAUGCAGCAACGCCGCGUGCGGGAUGACGGCCUUCGGGUUGUAAACCGCUUUCGCCGGUGACGAAGCGUGAGUGACGGUAAUGGGUAAAGAAGCACCGGCUAACUACGUG